AUACGGAGGGUGCAAGCGUUACUCGGAAUCACUGGGCGUAAAGCGCGCGCAGGCGGCUUGAUAAGUUGGAUGUGAAAGCCUACGGCUCAACCGUAGAACUGCAUCCAAAACUGUCAGGCUAGAGUGUGGGAGAGGAAGAUGGAAUUAGUUGUGUAGGGGUAAAAUCCGUAGAGAUAACUAGGAAUACCAAAAGCGAAGGCAAUCUUCUGGAACGCUACUGACGCUGAGGCGCGAAGGCGUGGGGAGCAAACAGGAUUAGAAACCCUGGUAGUCC
rnacentral:rRNA from 1 species